rnacentral:rRNA from 1 species
CAGAGGGUGCAAGCGUUGUUCGGAAUUAUUGGGCGUAAAGCGCGUGUAGGCGGCUUUGCAAGUCGGGUGUGAAAGCCCUCAGCUUAACUGAGGAAGUGCGCCCGAAACUGCAUGGCUUGAGUACCGGAGAGGAUGGCGGAAUUCCCCAAGUAGAGGUGAAAUUCGUAGAUAUGGGGAGGAACACCGGUGGCGAAGGCGGCCAUCUGGACGGAUACUGACGCUGAGACGCGAAAGCGUGGGUAGCAAACAGGAUUAGAUACCCUGGUAGUCCACGCCGUAAACGAUGAGAACUAGGUGUCGUGGGUGUUGACCCCCGCGGUGCCGUAGCUAACGCAUUAAGUUCUCCGCCUGGGAAGUACGGCCGCAAGGCUA